rnacentral:rRNA from 1 species
AUUGAACGCUGGCGGCAGGCCUAACACAUGCAAGUCGAGCGAGCGGCGGACGGGUGAGUAAUGUCUGGGGAUCUGCCCGAUGGAGGGGGAUAACUACUGGAAACGGUGGCUAAUACCGCAUACUAUCAGAUGAGCCCAUAUGGGAUUAGCUAGUAGGGUGGGGAAAGGCUCACCUAGGCGACGAUCUCUAGCUGGUCUGCGAGGAGGAUCAGCCACCCGGGGACUGAGACACGGCCCAGACUCCUAAGGGAGGCAGCAGGUGGGAAGAUUGCACAAUGGGGGCAAGCCUGAUUCAGCCAUGCCGCGGUGAUGAAGAAGGCCCUAGGGGUGGAAAGGACUUUCAGCGGGGAGGCGUUACCCGAAGAAGAAGCACCGGCUAACUCCGUGCCAGCAGCCGCGGUAAUAC